rnacentral:rRNA from 1 species
AACGAACGCUGGCGGCGUGCCUAACACAUGCAAGUCGAGCGGGAAAGCCCGCAAGGGUGAGUACAGCGGCGCACGGGUGCGUAACACGUGGGUAAUCUGCCCAGAAGCCCGGAAUAACCUUCCGAAAGGAAAGCUAAUACCGGAUGAGACCACGGGGACUUCGGUUCUCGCGGGAAAAGGUGGCCUCUGCAUGCAAGCUAUCACUUCUGGAUGAGCCCGCGGCCCAUCAGCUCGUUGGCGGGGUAAUGGCCCACCAAGGCUACGACGGGUAGCUGGUCUGAGAGGACGAUCAGCCACACUGGAACUGAGACACGGUCCAGACUCCUACGGGAGGCAGCAGUGGGGAAUCUUGCGCAAUGGGCGAAAGCCUGACGCAGCAACGCCGCGUGUGUGAUGAAGGUCUUCGGAUCGUAAAGCACUGUCGGGAGGGACGAAUAAGGGCCGGGUGAACAAUCCGGUCCGAUGACGGUACCUCCAAAGGAAGCACCGGCUAACUCUGUGCCAGCAGCCGCGGUAAUACAGAGGGUGCAAGCGUUGUUCGGAAUUAUUGGGCGUAAAGCGCGUAUAGGCGGCUCUGCAAGUCGGAUGUGAAAGCCCUCG